UACGAAGGGGGCUAGCGUUGCUCGGAAUCACUGGGCUUAAAGGGCGCGUAGGCGGCCCGCCGCGUCCGGGGUGAAAUCCUCCCGCUCAACGGGAGAACGGCCUCGGAUACGGGCGGGCUGGAGGGGGGUAGGGGCACGCGGAACUGUGGGUGGAGCGGUGAAAUGCGUUGAGAUCCACAGGAACUCCGGUGGCGAAGGCGGCGUGCUGGACCCCAUCUGACGCUGAGGCGCGAAAGCCAGGGGAGCGAACGGG
rnacentral:rRNA from 1 species